rnacentral:rRNA from 1 species
AGCGAACGCUGGCGGCAGGCCUAACACAUGCAAGUCGAACGGCCCUUCGGGGUAGUGGCGGACGGGUGAGUAACGCGUGGGUAUGUGCCCUGUGGUACGGAACAACUGAGGGAAACUUCAGCUAAUACCGUAUGUGCCCUUCGGGGGAAAGAUUUAUCGCCAUUGGAGCAGCCCGCGUUGGAUUAGCUAGUUGGUAGGGUAAAGGCCUACCAAGGCUACGAUCCAUAGCUGGUCUGAGAGGAUGAUCAGCCACACUGGGACUGAGACACGGCCCAGACUCCUACGGGAGGCAGCAGUGGGGAAUCUUGCGCAAUGGGCGAAAGCCUGACGCAGCCAUGCCGCGUGUAUGAUGAAGGUCUUAGGAUUGUAAAAUACUUUCACCGGGGAAGAUAAUGACGGUACCCGGAGAAGAAGCCCCGGCUAACUUCGUGCCAGCCGCCGCUGUAACAC